rnacentral:rRNA from 1 species
UAACCGUGCGAAGGUAGCGUAAUCACUUGUUCUUUAAAUAAGGACUAGUAUGAAUGGCAUCACGAAGGUUAUACUGUCUCCUCUUUUUAAUCAGUGAAACUAAUCUUCCCGUGAAGAAGCGGGAAUUAAACUAUAAGACGAGAAGACCCUAUGGAGCUUUAAACCAUGUAGCACUUGCACCCACCUAGCACAAAUUUCAGAAAAAUAUAUUUUACCAAUGCAAGAUUACUACAAGUUUUAGGUUGGGGUGACCGCGGAGCAAAAAGAAACCUCCACAUUGAAAGGAACCCACUCCUUAGCUAAGAGUCACACCUCUAUGCAUCAUAACAAUGACAUUAAUUGACCCAAUAUUUUGAUCAACGAACCAAGUUACCCUAGGGAUAACAGCGCAAUCCACUUUAAGAGCUCCUAUCGACAAGUGGGUUUACGACCUCGAUGUUGGAUCAGGGUAU